rnacentral:rRNA from 1 species
UACGGGGGGUGCAAGCGUUAAUCGGAAUUACUGGGCGUAAAGGGUGUGUAGGUUGUUGUGUAAGUUAUGUGUGAAAGCCCUGGGCUCAACCUGGGAUAGUCAGAUAAUACUGCACGACUUGAGUAUAGGAGAGGGUAGUGGAAUUUCCGGUGUAGCGGUGAAAUGCGUAGAGAUCGGAAGGAACACCAGUGGCGAAGGCGGCUACCUGGCCUGAUACUGACACUGAGACACGAAAGCGUGGGGAGCAAACAGG